GCUCGAACACCUGAAUGGGAACAAAUUUCCGCCUCACGGGUUCUUGGCUCUGCGUCCUUGGUGUUACUUCGCCUCCGGCAGAUCUGGGCAAACCCUUUGGUGGUAACCGGGUUCCAGCUGUUCCCUGGGGCUGCAUGCGCUCAGGCAUGGAGGCAGGAAGCAAAAAUCUUUGUGCAGAUGAAUGUUAAUUCAGCAAAGUGCUUGAGAUUUACUCUAACCACACCCUCUGAGGUCACGUGCCCCUUCCCGAGCCAAUCACUGCCACCGGCGGUGGAACGUGAGAUUCCCCCUGGCCUGGGUCCGCAGCUCGGUCCCUUCGCACUGCUUGGGGUGGCUUCAGCCUCCGGACAACUGCGUUGAUUCCCAGGUGGAACUGGAACAGGGGGGAAUCAGGAAGGAGAGAAAGAAAGGUGCACCGUCAAGCAACACGUCUUCGUGCGUAUCGCUCAAUGGCAUUACGUGCGUUCACACAGUGGCACAAUCCUUACCACUGUUCAUCUCCAGAACUUUUUUCACCUUGCAAAAUGAAACUUCACACCCAUAAAGCAACAAUUCCCCGCCAGCAUCUGGAGACUUCUCUCUGACUGUAAGUCAUACGUUCCCAGGAUGAUCUGUGAAUCAGGAACGAGGCUGGUUUUGUUGGAACAAAAACUAAGAAUGUCAAAUAUCUUCCAGAGUGUCUUUCAGAUGACUGAAGUCAAUGCUACUUGAGACUCUCGUACCUAAACAUUUCUACGUUAUCACCUUGUCACCUAGGCUUCCAACAGAAGAUACAAAGCUUCCACCAAAGAUACAAGAUUGCAGAGUAUAAUGAGUGAGCCGCUCCUCCCCUACUCUGUCCUGUGUCUUCCUUUCUCUCUCUUCCCUGGGGCAUCCCUUGCCUGUCAUAUGUUGCCAACAUCCUACGGUGUGGAUGUCCUUUAUAUGUAUGAUUACUAUUCAUGGAGCCAAGGUGCUAAAGAGAAUUCUUGCUAAGAGCG